rnacentral:rRNA from 1 species
UGGGGAAUAUUGGACAAUGGGCGCAAGCCUGAUCCAGCCAUGCCGCGUGAGUGAUGAAGGCCCUAGGGUUGUAAAGCUCUUUCACCGGUGAAGAUAAUGACGGUAACCGGAGAAGAAGCCCCGGCUAACUUCGUGCCAGCAGCCGCGGUAAUACGAAGGGGGCUAGCGUUGUUCGGAUUUACUGGGCGUAAAGCGCACGUAGGCGGACUAUUAAGUCAGGUGUGAAAUCCCGGGGCUAAACCCCGGAACUGCCUUUGAUACUGGUAGUGUUGAGUUCGAGAGAGGUGAGUGGAAAUCCGAGUGUAGAGGUGAAAAUCGUAGAUAUUCGGAGGAAAACCAGUGGCGAAGGCGGCUCACUGGCUAGAUACUGACGAUGAGGUGAGAAAGGGUGGGGAGCAAACAGG